GCGUGAAUGGGGUAGUGGUAACCUUAAUCGUUGCCAUCAAGCCAGAUCGAUUAGCCAGGGGUUCGAUUCCCCUUUCACGCA
rnacentral:tRNA from 1 species